rnacentral:lncRNA from 1 species
AAUAUAGACGUAUAAAUAUCGGAUUUUAUAGUUUUAAAUGCACAGUUUUAUUUUUACACUUCUAUCUCCAAUAAGAAUGGCCACACUGAAGAAAAUUUUCAUAAUUUGUGUCGCGUUGCCUCUUUUAAUAGCGGCAUUUAGCAUGUUGUUGCCGGGGGCUGAAGCUCGAGAAGUGGCUCUAGUGAAGCGUUCACAGCUUUCCCAACCAACCGUAGAGCUUGUAGUUCGACUGGUACCGGUAUUGCGAACACUUUUGGGGAUCUUAUCUCCAAUAGUGGGUUAAAUAAAAACGUACAGGACCAAGAUUUCCGAAUUAAAAAGCUCCACUUAAUAAUUUCUGAAAAAUGAAUCUAUUUAAAUUUGUAUAAUUACCUAAUUGAAACAAAAUAAGCUCCUUGCAAUAAAAAGUGAAACUCAUUGAGAAACCUAAGGGA